GUGAGUGCGUCGCCGGGCCCCGCCCGCCCCACGCCGGGGCCCGGCGACCCGCUACAACUG
rnacentral:precursor_RNA from 1 species